GCGGAUGUAGCUCAGCGGAAGAGCGCCGGAUUUGGGUCCGGAGGUCGGGGGUUCAAUUCCCUUCAUCUGCACCA
rnacentral:tRNA from 2 species